CCCUUAGAUGUCCUGGGCCGCACGCGCGCUACACUGAUGCAUUCAACGAGUUUUACCUUGGCCGAGAGGCCUGGGCAAUCUUUUAAACCUGCAUCGUGAUAGGGAUAGAUUAUUGCAAUUAUUAAUCUUGAAUGAGGAAUUCCUAGUAAACGCAAAUCAUCAAUUUGCAUUGAUUACGUCCCUGCCCUUUGUACACACCGCCCGUCGCACCUACCGAUUGAAUGGUCCGGUGAAGCCUCGGGAUUGUGGCCAGUUCACUUUAUUGGGAGUUGGCUGUGAGAACUUGUCUAAACCUUAUCAUUUAGAGGAAGGUGAAGUCGUAACA
rnacentral:rRNA from 1 species